CGGCGCCGGGCUCCAGCGAUCUGGCGGCACUGGGAGCCACGCCAUCCGCGCGUCUGCCCAUCUCCGGGCGGGGCGCCGGCCUUGGCUCGCGGCAGGAGGCGGGCGAAAGCUUCAGGCUGCCUCCAUGUCCAUCGGGAUGAUAUAAGGAGGGUUUUAAGGCAGAAAUACAAGGGGAUUGACACCUGCUUCGGAUACCCGUGUACCAUCCAACUUCCAGAUCAGGUAGUACCUGGCUACAGUGGGAAAACAAGACAAGGUCCUGGUGUGCUCCAAAGAAAGGUUAAAAGCUCAGUGAAGAUGCAAGGGAUUGUCAGCAAAAGUCUCACUAAUGAGGGCAGAAAAACAAAGGGACCGUGGUCUUUGAUGAUUCGUACUAAUAUGCAGAGGAGGUGGGUACCAUCUUGGACUGUAGCCAGAAACACACAUUUGCUGGUACCUCUUUUGUGUCCAGUCCUUAAUAUCUGCAUUUCAGAGUUUGGCUGGCUUUGGGUUUGCUGCAGCAAAGAAGAAAUAUCCCAAAUGUGACUGGGAAGAGAAGACCUGGGACUGUCCAGAAGCUGGAGAGCCAUAGCAAGGAUGUUAAAGAAUUGACUGAUGAAUAGCUUUCAAGUGCUAUCUGGUUGUGUCCUGGCAGACUCCCUUGGGGUCUCCCCCACUUUGCAUUUUUCAGGCUGGCUGAACUCAGUCAUUCCAGAAAGAGUGAGAAAUUGGUGGGAGUGGGGUGGGGGGAAUGAAAAACAAACGAAUAUCCUAGCAUCCCACAGCUGAGUCCUUUGUUUAUCCAGUAAAUAUUUCUUGAGUACCUACUGUGUGCCAGAAGCUGUUCAGGCAAUGGAAAUCAAUGAAUAAAACAGAGCCCUACCUGC